AGUAAUACAUCGGAACGUGUCUUCUAGUGGGGGAUAACUGCCCGAAAGGGCAGCUAAUACCGCAUGAGACCUGAGGGUGAAGGCGGGGGAUCGCAAGACCUCGCGCUGGAAGAGCGGCAGAUGUCCGAUUAGCUAGUUGGUGAGGUAAAGGCUCACCAAGGCGACGAUCGGUAGCUGGUCUGAGAGGACGACCAGCCACACUGGGACUGAGACACGGCCCAG
rnacentral:rRNA from 1 species